rnacentral:rRNA from 1 species
GGACCCGCACAAGUAGUGGAGCAUGUGGUUUAAUUCGAAGAUACGCGCAGAACCUUACCAACACUUGACAUGUUCGUCGCGACUUUAAGAGAUUAAAGUUUUCGGUUCGGCCGGACGAAACACAGGUGCUGCAUGGCUGUCGUCAGCUCGUGUCGUGAGAUGUUGGUUAAGUCCCGCAACGAGCGCAACCCUCACUUUUAGUUGCCAUCAUUUAGUUGGGCACUCUGAAAGAACUGCCAGUGAUAAGCUGGAGGAAGGUGGGGAUGACGUCAAGUCCUCAUGGCCCUUACGUGUUGGGCUACACACGUGCUACAAUGGUAUCUACAGUGGGUUAAUCCCCAAAAGAUGUCU